AUGACGAACGUUGAAACGAGUCCAAAGGUCAAACCAACUGUCGAGAGUGCCGAGCAAAGUCAAACCUGGUCAAGCCAGCAUGACCAUGUAGAGAGAACGGAGCUGGAACAUGUGGGACGUUUACGCAGCGAGAAGUUGCAAGAGGAUUAUGUUGAAGCAAAUUCCACAGUCUGCUAAACAAAUUGGGUAUAGGAUUAUUGUAUGAAGAUCUUCAUAGAAAGAAUAACUUAAAGUCUGAUGAUGGAUGUAAGUGUAAGUAUAUAAGUGUGUACGCGUAAAUUAUACAAGAGUACAAAGUAUCAAAAACUAAUGAGAUUGAUGCUUAUAGAGAAUAUUUUAGUCACUCAUAAGAUUAAAAAGUAAACUAAAAAUUUUCAAAACAAUUUGUAGUACAAUUUAAUGUUUUAAAUUCAAUUUUAUAAUUUAAGUAUGGUGAAAGGAAUAGGACAAAUACGUUUCAAAAAAAUACAGGGAAAAUAUCUAAAAAUUACUUGAAAAUUACUUCAAAGAUUAAAUAAAUAUUUUAUUAAAAAUUAGAAUUGUCUCAUUAUUCUUUGAUACACUCUUGUUUUUGUACAUAUAUAUAAUACUUAAUAACAGUGUUACUGUAUGUUACAGUCAAUAUAUUAUACAUUGUAUUCAUAAUAAAUAUUAAAGAUGUA